GACGAACGCUGGCGGCGUGCUUAACACAUGCAAGUCGAACGGAAAGGCCCUGCUUUUGUGGGGUGCUCGAGUGGCGAACGGGUGAGUAACACGUGAGUAACCUGCCCUUGACUUUGGGAUAACUUCAGGAAACUGGGGCUAAUACCGGAUAGGAGCUCCUGCUGCAUGGUGGGGGUUGGAAAGUUUCGGCGGUUGGGGAUGGACUCGCGGCUUAUCAGCUUGUUGGUGGGGUAGUGGCUUACCAAGGCUUUGACGGGUAGCCGGCCUGAGAGGGUGACCGGCGUCAAUGGGACUGAGAUACGGCCCAGACUCCUACGGGAGGCAGCAGGGGGGAAUAUUGCACAAUGGGCGGAAGCCUGAUGCAGCAACGCCGCGUGCGGGAUGACGGCCUUCGGGUUGUAAACCGCUUUCUCCUGUGACGAAGCGUGAUUGACGGUAAUUGGUAAAGAAGCACCGGCUAACUACGUG
rnacentral:rRNA from 1 species